rnacentral:tRNA from 1 species
UUCCUCGGUAGCUCAGCGGUAGAGCGGUCGGCUGUUAACCGAUUGGUCGUAGGUUCGAAUCCUAUCCGGGGAGA